rnacentral:rRNA from 1 species
CCCUUAGAUGUCCUGGGCCGCACGCGCGCUACACUGACCAGUGCAACAAGCAUCCGUCCUUGGCCGACAGGCUCGGGCAAUCUUUGAACGCUGGUCGUGAUGGGGAUAGACUUUUGCAAUUUUUGGUCUUCAACGAGGAAUUCCUAGUAAACGCAAGUCAUCAGCUUGCAUUGAUUACGUCCCUGCCCUUUGUACACACCGCCCGUCGCACCUACCGAUUGAAUGGUCCGGUGAAAUCUCGGGACGGCGGCUUGGUCGCUUGCGUCCGACUGCUGAAACUUGAUUAAACCAUAUCAUUUAGAGGAAGGUGAAGUCGUANCA